CCAAGUUGUCUUUAAGCUCUCGCAACUUGAAUGAAAGGUGGAGAGCGCGGGGUGGAAGAGGGACAGCUUGGAAAAACAGAGCUGCUAAGCUGCCGGUGGCCGGGGGGGAGCCGGCUGGGAUAUCCCGGUUCCCCCCCGCACGCACCAGACUUUUUGAGGAUGGGAAAGCCCAACACGACGGCGUGGGUCUGCCCCCAACAGCUCCCGCUCCAGGGCCCGCUGUCCUCCCCCGGAGAUCUCAGGAAGCGAGCAGCCGGGGUUGGAUUUCACGUUGGUUCCUGUGCUUGCUUCUCCGAAGUCUUUUUGCCCGCGACAGACUGGAUCCCACGCACAGUUCCCCUCCGGAGCUGCAGUGUCGAAUGCACGAGAUGAAAGCUUGCUCCAUUUCCCGUUAGUCCUUCUGAGCGUUCAGCAGGAAGAUGACCGCGUAGCCAAUAGCCAUGUCUAUUUUACUGGCACCUCCAGAUUUUAUGCAGUGUCUGAAUCUCAGCAGGCACCUCACGCCUGCUAAUGGCUUUGCAAGUCAGCCAAUCAAUUGGUUAUUUACAGCAGGCAUGUCUCAAAACUGUCGGGUCAAGUUUUCCUACCCUUACGUAUUUUGUUCAGAGGAACACAUAAAUCCUGUCCUGCCAUUUGCAGCUUAAACCUUCUGAGUGUGAAGCCAGUGGGUUAAAGUUUCCAGUGAUAGUAGCAAACUAUAUUUUAAAGAGUUGCUCUCCUGACUCUCAGGGACUUUGGCACUCUGAGUCAUGAAUCAGUUUGCUUCAUGCAGCAAGAUUUAUAGGCGUUAAGCUCUCCUUUUGGUGUCCUUUAGCUCCACAGUUUGAAGCCGUAACCACGGAAAUUGAGACCUCUCCGUCGUUCCAGUGUUUUUCUAUUUAAUGUGCUCUUCUAGAAAGCCACGAUGGUGUCUUAAUUAGAAGCUCUGCAGUUAGAUAUAAGAAGAGGAGUAGAAUUGCUUCGCUUGCCAGGAUUGAUCCUGCAGCUCCGAAGUUCACAUGUUCGUGCAGGGGAGAUGCAGCCCUGGCAUAAGGGGAACUCUGGAUCUCAAUAACAAGUCUCCAAAGACUCGAAUGGCCCAGGAAUUUGGAGCUGUGGGUUUCUAGGUGCUAGAGCAACACGAUUCAAAGCUAAACAAAAGACCUCCCAACCUUAAGGACUUUAAAUGCGAACAACUGAAGAACAACGGUUCGUAGGGCACCUUCCAUGUACUAAAGGCAUUUCGGAAAGCACGGGGUAAUUCCUGGGCACACCACUGAUAAGUGGGAGAGACAGGAUCACGCUCAUCUUUCUGCUCAGCCUGUAUUGGUAUCUUUUCAACACAUAUGUAUGUUUAGGAUUGUGUGUGUGGGGAAGCUCUAUUGUAAAAGCAGGCGAGGGAAGUAAAAAUAAAUCUAUUUGCCAAAGCCAUGAACAUUGUACUACGUCUCAGUGCUUCAAAAAACGAAGUGCUUGCAAAAGGAGACUACCUGUAAAGACACAAAGUGGAGAUUUUUGUUGGUCCUAUGUCAGGAAAUAAGCCUGUUCUCUACCAGGACGUAAAGUAAUUUUGUAACUGAUAAAAUAGUGCAGAUAUGCCUUGCACUUUCAACAUUUCUAGAUUCUGGAAAAGAUGAUCUUAUAAAUCAAAGCUCUUCAAGUGACCUUGCCCCACCACUUAAAAUUAAAUCUAAUUUAAUGGGUGAUUGAAAAAAUAAAAAUCUGACCUUCAAGAUUUGGACUGAUACACAAAAUUCUGCAUCAACAAAAAUACAGAUACUUCUCUCAGUCUGGGGCCUGUUCAAAAUAGCACAUGAUUCAUCUUUACUUCUUCCUUUUCCAAAGCUUCCAGAAGAAGAGAUUGGACCUGCUGGACAGUGACGAUCCUGUUGCAAAGGGAUGCGCAAACAUGACAACGCAAGCGAAGGAGGACUGAAUCUUUGGAGUUAGCCUAAAACCUGCUGAUGUUGCGUGGGUUUAACUGUGUCUAUCAGAGCCGCAGGGUUCUGCGCUGGAGGGAAGCGUGCCUUGAAAGGAAAAGCUUAAUGAACUUUAACCAGCCUUCCAAGAUCUUUAUUAGUUGCCUCUUUUUCAAAUUAAAUUCACGCUGGGCCGGGUGGCUUGAGCAGCGCGAGCUGCUGCCGCGCGCUAAGCGCCAAAGCAGGCUUUAAUUGGCUGUUUAAAGGAGAGCAGGGCCCCCGGCGCGCAGCGAGGGGCCCCCGGCCGGGACCCGGCGGCACCUUCACGGCUCCAACGGCAACAUAAGGCUCCAGAUCUUCCGCCCGCCAGCCCGAACGGCUCUGCGCUGCGGCGGCGCGGGUCCGCUUUCCGGCGGCGGCAGGAGCAGCAAAGCUUGGACUAGAAGGCCGGUCGGUCCGUAGCUGCGAGCUGGCUCCAGAUGCCGCUUCCAGAGGUAGAGCAGGAAGAGCCUCCAUGAGCGAGGCCGGGGACGCCUGCUCACGAAGCUGAAUGCAGGACUUUUACGAAGAUUUUCUUUGUGCUGGUCGCAGCUCAGCUUCAUAGAUCACAAAUUAGUCGCAGGUGUCAACGACCGUCUCCGGAGCAGUGAAGGCCAGACGAAGAUGAGCAGGUCACUUGUCCCGCAGAAGAAUUUUGAUCUGAAAAAUGCAUUACAGGGUCACCAGCGGUGAUGCCGGAGCUAAGGUUGCAGACAGGCCUGCCGUGACAGUGGGGAGUCCUUGGCCUCAAGCCCCACCGGGGCUUGGCCUCCCGGGAGGACCUUUGAGCAGCACGCAGGCUUGCCUGCAGACACCUCCCCUGUCCGGCCCGGCCCACAGGACCGAACAGCAGUGCCGGAGGCCUGAGCAAGACCAGGAAGAUGGGGAGCGACGGCUUUUGAGCGCCGUGACCGCCGGUCGCCGUCCUGCUGGUGGCAUCUCCUGGUGGCAGCGGUGGUGGUGCCUGGGGGGCUUCGCUCGGACCCCGCGGGGAACGGCACCCCGGUGGCGUCUUGGCCCACAAAGCUCUUAUUUCUCCCUUUGCUGAGGAGGCAAAGAGAAGUUUUGCGCUGUCAGAAAGUCUUGAGCCGUCUGUCACGCCUUCUGCCCAUGCAAAGUUCUACCUCCCUCUUCUCCUCCAUCCCUUACUUCCACUCCCGUCCCUGCCCGGCGCGCGUCCGCUGCGGUUCUGCACCUUCCUCCCGCCUCUCCCCGCUUCCCGCGCGGCAGCGAGCCCUGCGGACGGGGGAGCUGCUCGCUUCCCCCGCGCGGGCGGACGCUUCGGGGGUCUCCUGCCUCCUCGCUCCGCCUAGCAGCCGAUUUUAUCUGCCCCCGGGGGCGGGUUUCGUAACGCGCCAGACAGCGCGGAGGUGCGGAGGCUUCCGGCCCUCGCGCUAACCUGCAUUCCAGCAUUAAAGAUAAUGGAUGCAAUGGAAAAUCAAUGGAGAAUAUGUAACUUUAUCCCAUUCAUAGCUUCAUAUUGCAUUACACUGUGGCCUUCAGAUACAUAAAAAUGAUAUAUGGCUGAAUUUGGCAGGAAAAAAAAAGAACACGAGAAGCAAAUAUCUUUGGUAAGGAUCACAGUCUAGGUAUAACCAAAAUAGAAAAUAAACCUGCAUAUCUCA